GACGAACGCUGGCGGCGUGCUUAACACAUGCAAGUCGAACAGUGGCUAACGGGUGGGUAACACGUGCGUAACCUGCCCUCCACUUUGGGAUAACUCCGUGAAGUCGGGGCUAAUACUUGCUAGUGGGGGAUGGGCUCGCGGCCUAUCUGUUUGUUGGUGAGGUAGUGGGCACCAAGGCGUGACGGGUAGCCGGCCUGGGAGGGCGACAGGCCACACUGGGACUGGGACACGGGCCAGAGGGAUACGGGGGGCAGCGGUGGGGAAUAGUGCAAAAGGGGCGGAAGGCUGAUGGAGGGACGUCGGGUGGGGGAGGACGGCCUUCGGGGUGGAAACCUCUUUCAGCAAGGAAGCGGUAAUUGCAGAAGAAGCGCCGGCUAACUACGUGCCAGCAGCCGCGGUAAUUC
rnacentral:rRNA from 1 species